rnacentral:misc_RNA from 1 species
GCUUUUGAGGUGAAAUUUUGAGCCCUUACAUUCUGGAAUCGGAUUUUGUUGCAUGGUUAGAUGUAUUUCAAGCUCUGCAAAUAGUAUUUUUUUAUGCCAUUUGUCCAUGUAGUAAUUUAUAAUGUGGACUGUUAGUUGUUCCUCUCCUCAGCUAAUAUCCAGUAGUCGAUCUUGGAUUUUAAUUUUAUAAUUGUCAGUGAUAUAGUCACUGAGUUUAAUAGGAUUGCAUUUGUAAAGCAAAAUCAAAUCCAUGUUAUUGAAGUCUGUUUGUAUGAUUACCAUAUUGAUUUAGUUGCAUGGUGUAUUAAAUAUUCAUACUGCACUUACUAAGAAUUUAGGAUUAUUUUAUUGCCUAAUGGCACAAGUUUUGCCUUUGCCAAUGCCUUUCCUGAGUUAUUAUGUAGGUCUAAUGCUAUAUGACGCCAUUUGUAUCAUGUCUAUUUUUAUUUUGUUACCUUGAGCCAGGCCAAUACAAUUUUAAUUCUUACUUCAUUGUUACAUUGUUGGUACUUUACCUAACCAUGUAAUGGGAAAAUGACCAAUAGUUUAGUGUAAGAUGUGGUCCUUCAAGAUUGAAUAGAAUAUGCUUUGGGCUCCAAGUAGUGUUCUGAGUGGAGUUGACGUGAGAUACAAUAUACCAUAGUUCGCUUGAAGAGUAUAGACCUCUGGAGGUGGAUUUUAGGUCAUCAUAAAUAGCAAAAUCUUAUCCUUGACAUCACAUGUGGGUUAACAUUUUUAGUCCCUUGUCGUUACUUUAUGUUUUAUUGGGGGUAAGGGUGGAAAAAGUAGCUUACAAUAUUCUCAAGUGUAAUUUAAACUUUUUCGAGCCAGAGUGAAAGACCCAUCCACAUCUCUUAGGGAGCCGCUAAAGUGGAUGUGUCUUGUUGAGUUGCUGUAGACCAUUUUCCUUUCUGACCCAGUUAAAGUGGUGUAGGUGGACAUGCUUCUUUAGAGAUUGGUUGUGCCACUGAAGGCAUGCAAAUACAAAAUAGAUAAAUAAAUAAAUAAAGGG